ACAAAACAUAAGAGGUCCCGCCUGCCCUGUGACUAUAUGUUUAACGGCCGCGGUAUUUUGACCGUGCGAAGGUAGCGCAAUCACUUGUCUUUUAAAUGGAGACCUGUAUGAAUGGCACAACGAGGGCUUAACUGUCUCCUUUUUCAGGUCAAUGAAGUUGAUCUUCCCGUGCAGAAGCGGGAAUACCACCAUAAGACGAGAAGACCCUAUGGAGCUUUAGACACCAAAGCAGACCAUGCAUUAACCCCUACAAAGGAAAUAAAGCCAAAUGACCCCUGCCCUAAUGUCUUCGGUUGGGGCGACCGCGGGGAAGGGAAAAACCCCCGCACGGACCGGGGAGACUACUCCUUAAAAGCAAGAGCCACAGCUCUAACUAACAGAAUUUCUGGCCAAUAGAUCCGGCAAUGCCGAUUAAUGGACCAAGUUACCCUAGGGAUAACAGCGCAAUCUCCUUUUAGAGCCCAUAUCGACAAGGGGGUUUACGACCUCGAUGUUGGAUCAGGACAUCCUAAUGGUGCAGCCGCUAUUAAGGGUUCGUUUGUUCAACGAUUAA
rnacentral:rRNA from 1 species